rnacentral:lncRNA from 1 species
UAAAUAGUUUUGUUAAGUGUUAUAUGCGCGUAAAUGAAAGUUACGGUCGAUAUAGAUUUACCGAUUUGGCAAUGUGUAAGAUGCAUGCGUCACAUAUAUUGGCUUAAAGAAGGCCAGCAUCGCAGAAGAUCAAAUUGGGUCAAGUCAUGUUCGAAAUGACGUGAAUCAUAUUUAAAAUGAUAUUUACUGUGUCUUUACGCUUUAAGUGAAUUGAUUCAUCUUUCAAAGAAUAAAAUUUUUGCAUGCGCUGAUUGACAAUUAAUC